GACGUAGGGGGCGAGCGUUGUCCGGAUUUAUUGGGUUUAAAGGGUGCGUAGGCGGCUUUUUUAAGUCAGCGGUGAAAUUUUGUAGCUUAAACUGUAACAGUGCCGUUGAUACUGGGGAGCUAGGAUUUGGUUGCUGUGGGUGGAAUGUGUGGUGUAGCGGUGAAAUGCUUAGAGAUCACACAGAGUAUCGAUUGCGAAGGCAGCUCACAAAGCCAAGAUUGACGCUGAGGCACGAAAGUGUGGGGAUCAAACAGGAUUAGAUACCCU
rnacentral:rRNA from 1 species